GAUGAACGCUGGCGGCAGGCUUAACACAUGCAAGUCGAGCGGGGGAGGUUGCUUCGGUAACUGACCUAGCGGCGGACGGGUGAGUAAUGCUUAGGAAUCUGCCUAUUAGUGGGGGACAACAUUCCGAAAGGGAUGUUAAUACCGCAUACGCCCUACGGGGGAAAGCAGGGGAUCUUCGGACCUUGCGCUAAUAGAUGAGCCUAAGUCGGAGUAGCUAGUUGGUGGGGUAAAGGGCUACCAAGGCGACGAUCUGUAGCGGGUCUGCAAGGAUGAUGCGCCACACUGGGACUGAGACCCGGCCCAGACUCCUACGGGAGGCAGCAGUGGGGAAUAUUGGACAAUGGGCGGAAGCCUGAUCCAGCCAUGCCGCGUGUGUGAAGAAGGCCUUUUGGUUGUAAAGCACUUUAAGCGAGGAGGAGGCUCUUAAGGUUAAUACCCUUGAUGAGUGGACGUUACUCGCAGAAUAAGCACCGGCUAACUCUGUGCCAGCAGCCGCCGUAAAAC
rnacentral:rRNA from 1 species